AUUGAACGCUGGCGGCAGGCUUUACACAUGCAAGUCGAACGAGUGGCGCACGGGUGAGUAAUACAUCGGAACGUGUCCUAUCGUGGGGGAUAACUGAUCGAAAGAUCAGCGAAUACCGCAUACGCUUUGAGCGGCCGAUACGCGAUUAGCUAGUGGGUGAGGUAAAGGCGCACCACGGCGACGAUCGGUAGCUGGUCUGAGAGGACGACCAGCCACACUGGGACUGAGACACGGCCCAGACUCCUACGGGAGGCAGCAGUGGGGAAUGUUGGACAAUGGGGGCAAGCCUGAUCCAGCCAUGCCGCGUGCAGGAAGAAGGUCUUCGGAUUGUAAACUACUUUUAGCAGGGAAGCGGUACCUGAAGAAUAAGCACCGGCUAACUACGUGCCAGCAGCCGCGGUAAUAC
rnacentral:rRNA from 1 species